rnacentral:misc_RNA from 1 species
AGUCUGAUCAAUCCGGCACAUCAGCCAUGGGGAAUCGCGACUGGUGACCUCGCCGCCGAAUUUGUAUUUGAAUUCCAUUCGAUUUUGAAUUUGCCGGAAUCUGCCGUGAACAAGCCCGUUGUCCUGUCGGAAGACACCCUCGCCGCGCCGAUCGUUGUGGAUGCUCCGGCGGCCCCCGCCCCGGUUUCGAGCGCACCCGCAUACGCUAUCAUCGGUGCCAUCAGCUUCUCGCAUCUCCUCAACGACCUGAUGCAGUCGCG